rnacentral:rRNA from 1 species
ACUCAAAUGAAUUGACGGGGACCCGCACAAGCAGUGGAGCAUGCGGUUUAAUUCGAUGUCACACGAAAAACCUUACCAACCUUUGACAUGGUGGUCGUAGGAUUCAGAGAUGAAUCCGUCGGUUCGGCCGGACCACACACAGGUGUUGCAUGGCCGUCGUCAGCUCGUGUCGUGAGAUGUUGGGUUAAGUCCUGCAACGAGCGCAACCCUCACUCUUAGUUGCCAGCGAGUUAUGUCGGGAACUCUAAGAGAACUGCCGGUGAUAAGCCGGAGGAAGGUGGGGACGAUGUCAGGUCAUCAUGGCCCUUAUAGGUUGGGCUACACGCGUGCUACAAUGGCGGUAACAAUGGGCUGCUAAAGAGCGAUCUUAAGCAAAUCCUUAAAAGCCGUCUCAGUUCGGAUUGCACUCUGCAACUCGAGUGCAUGAAGUUGGAAUUGCUAGUAAUCGCGGAUCAGCAUGCCGCGGUGAAUACGUUCACGGGUCUUGUACACACCGCCCGU